rnacentral:rRNA from 1 species
CCUACGGUGAGCAGCAGUGAGGAAUAUUGGUCAAUGGCCGGAAGGCUGAACCAGCCAAGCCGCGUGAAGGACGAAGGUGCCAAGCAUUGUAAACUUCUUUUGUCAAGGGACAAAAUCAGGCUCGAGAGCCUGACCGAGGGUACUUGAAGAAAAAGCAUCGGCUAACUCAGUGCCAGCAGCCGAGGUAAUAAGGAGGAUGGGAGCGUUAUCCGGAUUUAUUGGGUGUAAAGGGUGCGUAGGCGGACUGUUAAGUCAGCGGUAAAAGCCCGGGGCUCACCCCCGGCGAGCCGUUGAGACUGGCUGUCUUGAGAUGUCGAGAGGUAUGCGGAAUGCGUAGUGUAGCGGUGAAAUGCUUAGAUAUUUCGCAGAACUCCGAUUGCGAAGGCAGCAUACCGGCGUCGAUCUGACGCUGAGGCACGAAAGCGUGGGUAUCGAACAGGAUUAGAUACCCGAGUAGUC